rnacentral:tRNA from 1 species
GCGACACACUAGCUCAGUUGGUAGAGCGCAACCUUGCCAAGGUUGAGGUCACGAGUUCGAACCUCGUGUGUCGCUCCA